GCGGCGUGCUUAACACAUGCAAGUCGAACGAAGAGCGAUGGAAGCUUGCUUCUAUCAAUCUUAGUGGCGAACGGGUGAGUAACGCGUAAUCAACCUGCCCUUCAGAGGGGGAUAACAGUUGGAAACGACUGCUAAUACCGCAUACGAUCUAACCUCGGCAUCGAGGAUAGAUGAAAGGUGGCCUCUAUUUAUAAGCUAUCACUGAAGGAGGGGAUUGCGUCUGAUUAGCUAGUUGGAGGGGUAACGGCCCACCAAGGCGAUGAUCAGUAGCCGGUUGAGAGGAUGAACAGCCACAUUGGGACUGAGACACGGCCCAGACUCCUACGGGAGGCAGCAGUGGGGAAUCUUCCGCAAUGGACGAAAGUCUGACGGAGCAACGCCGCGUGAGUGAUGACGGCCUUCGGGUUGUAAAGCUCUGUUAAUCGGGACGAAAGGCCUUCUUGCGAAUAGUUAGAAGGAUUGACG
rnacentral:rRNA from 1 species